UGGGGAAUUUUGGACAAUGGGCGAAAGCCUGAUCCAGCAAUGCCGCGUGUGUGAAGAAGGCCUUCGGGUUGUAAAGCACUUUUGUCCGGAAAGAAAUGGCUCUGGUUAAUACCUAGGGUCGAUGACGGUACCGGAAGAAUAAGGACCGGCUAACUACGUGCCAGCAGCCGCGGUAAUACGUAGGGUCCAAGCGUUAAUCGGAAUUACUGGGCGUAAAGCGUGCGCAGGCGGUUGUGCAAGACCGAUGUGAAAUCCCCGAGCUUAACUUGGGAAUUGCAUUGGUGACUGCACGGCUAGAGUGUGUCAGAGGGGGGUUAGAAUUCCACGUGUAGCAGUGAAAUGCGUAGAGAUGUGGAGGAAUACCGAUGGCGAAGGCAGCCCCCUGGGAUAACACUGACGCUCAUGCACGAAAGCGUGGGGAGCAAACAGGAUUAGAUACCCUGGUAGUCCACGCCCUAAACGAUGUCAACUAGUUGUUGGGGAUUCAUUUCCUUAGUAACGUAGCUAACGCGUGAAGUUGACCG
rnacentral:rRNA from 1 species